rnacentral:rRNA from 1 species
AUUGAACGCUGGCGGCAGGCCUAACACAUGCAAGUCGAGCGGUGCGGCGGACGGGUGAGUAAUGCCUAGGUAUCUGCCUGGCAGUGGGGGAAAACGUCUGGCAACGGGCGCUAAUACUGCAUACUAUCAGAUGAGCGUAGGUCGGAUUAGCUCGUGGGUGGGGGAAAGGCCUACCAAGGCGACGAUCCGUAACUGGUCUGAGAGGAUGAUAAGUCACACCGGAACUGAGACACGGUCCAGACUCCUACGGGAGGCAGCAGUGGGGAAGAUUGGACAAUGGGCGAAAGCCUUAGCCAGCCAUGCCGCGUGUGUGAAGAAGGUCUUCGGAUUGUAAAGCACUUUAAGUUGGGAGGCGUUACCAACAGAAUAAGCACCGGCUAACUUCGUGCCAGCAGCCGCGGUAAUUC